rnacentral:rRNA from 1 species
UACGGAGGGGGCUAGCGUUGUUCGGAAUUACUGGGCGUAAAGCGCACGUAGGCGGACUGUUAAGUCGGGGGUGAAAUCCUGGGCUCAACCUCAGAAUUGCCUCCGAUACUGGCAGUCUCGAGUGCGGGAGAGGUGAGUGGAAUUCCCAGUGUAGAGGUGAAAUUCGUAGAUAUUGGGAAGAACACCAGUGGCGAAGGCGGCUCACUGGCCCGUAACUGACGCUGAGUGCGAAAGCGUGGGAGCAACAGG